UACGUAGGGGGCUAGCGUUGUCCGGAAUCAUUGGGCGUAAAGCGCGCGUAGGCGGCCCAGUAAGUCCGUUGUAAAAGUCAAAGGCUCAACCUUUGAAAGCCGAUGGAUACUGCUGGGCUAGAGUCCGGAAGAGGCGAGUGGAAUUCCUGGUGUAGCCGGUGGAAUGCGCAGAGUAUCAGGAGGAACACCGAUAGCGAAGGCAGCUCGCUGGGACGGUAGCUGGCGCUGAGGCGCGAAAGCGUGGGGAGCGAACAGG
rnacentral:rRNA from 1 species